rnacentral:rRNA from 1 species
ACGCUGGCGGCAUGCCUUAGGUACCGAAUGCCAGUUACAGCACGGGGGCAACCCUGGUGGCGAGUGGCGAACGGGUGAGUAAUACAUCGGAACGUGUCCUGUAGUGGGGGAUAGCCCGGCGAAAGCCGGAUUAAUACCGCAUACGCUCUGCGGAGGAAAGCGGGGGCUCCUUCGGGACCUCGCGCUACAGGGGCGGCCGAUGGCAGAUUAGCUAGUUGGUGGGGUAAAGGCCUACCAAGGCGACGAUCUGUAGCUGGUCUGAGAGGACGACCAGCCACACUGGGACUGAGACACGGCCCAGACUCCUACGGGAGGCAGCAGUGGGGAAUUUUGGACAAUGGGCGCAAGCCUGAUCCAGCAAUGCCGCGUGUGUGAAGAAGGCCUUCGGGUUGUAAAGCACUUUUGUCCGGAAAGAAAACCUCAGCCCUAAUACGGCGGGGGGAUGACGGUACCGGAAGAAUAAGCACCGGCUAACUACGUGCCAGCAGCCGCGGUAAUACGUAGGGUGCAAGCGUUAAUCGGAAUUACUGGGCGUAAAGCGUGCGCAGGCGGUCCGCUAAGACAGAUGUGAAAUCCCCGGGCUUAACCUGGGAACUGCAUUUGUGACUGGCGGGCUAGAGUAUGGCAGAGGGGGGUAGAAUUCCACGUGUAGCAGUGAAAUGCGUAGAGAUGUGGAGGAAUACCGAUGGCGAAGGCAGCCCCCUGGGCCAAUACUGACGCUCAUGCACGAAAGCGUGGGGAGCAAACAGGAUUAGAUACCCUGGUAGUCCACGCCCUAAACGAUGUCAACUAGUUGUCGGGCCUUCAUUGGCUUGGUAACGUAGCUAACGCGUGAAGUUGACCGCCUGGGGAGUACGGUCGCAAGAUUAAAACUCAAAGGAAUUGACGGGGACCCGCACAAG